GGUUAGGGUUAGAAGGUUAGAAUUACGGUUAGAGAUUAUGGUCAUGGUUAAGGUUAGGCUCAGUAGGUUAGGGUUGGCAUUAGCGGUUAUAGUUAGGAAUUAGGCUGUCAGAGUUGAUGUUAGGGUUAGGGUUACUUUAGAGGUUAGGAUUGGGAUUAGGGGUUAGAGGGUUAGGCUGGGGGUUAGGGCUAGCCUUAGGGGAUAGGGUUAAAGUUAGAGGGUUAGGGUUAGAGGUUAUGGCUAUUGUUAAGGUUAGGCUGAGUGGGUUAGGAUUGGGAUUAGGGUUAGGGUUAGAAAUUAGGGGUUAUAGUUAGGGUUAGGGCUCAGGGUCAGGAGUUAAGCUUAGGUGUUAGAGUUGCUGUCAGUGUCUGGGUUAGUGUUAGAAUGAGGGUUAUAGUUCAGGAAAGUUGUAUGAGAAUUAAUGAGAAAAAAAAUGCCACCAUCUACUUACUAAAGAAUUUAAAGAACUAUUUUAUUUUUAUCUGGUUUAUACUUUCAUCCCCAAUGUGCAGUUUAUCUGCAGGUAUCUAGUGGGCAUAGUAGCUGAUACCUAUAAUCCCAGUACUCAUAAGAAUGAGUAAAGAGAAUCACCAAGAGUUGGAGGGGAGCCUGGACUAUGGAGUGAACUCCAGUUGACCUGAUCUACCAUGGUACAGCGUCUUAACCCCUCCACCCUUCAGCCAUACACCCUAACAAUUUCCCAUCUCAAUAACUGGCAUAAAGUAGUGGUCAGCAAAUACCUUGACUCUACAUUCCUAUCAGUAUCUAGGGCUAGCCUAUGUGAGCUUUUGUGCUGACUAAUGUGCUUUGGGGAAACCUACCUUCUGUUUCUAGUCUGUUCAUUUUCAUAUGUGGACCUCUUGCCACACGUAUAGAGUCCCUUGCAUCUCCUCUCUACAUAUGUAUAUUUUAUCGUCAUGAAUUUAUAUAUCAUAGGAUCCUUUGUGUGAGUCUCAAGUAUAGAAUCCGGUCGUUUUUAGUAAUGCGGAAGGUCGUGUAAGCAUCAUUGCUAUUGAGCUACAAAAUGGUUUGGCCAGAGACAAAGGAGACCCUGUGCCUGCUGAGCAGGCAUUUCCGUCUUCUUUCCUCGGUCUGGAAACCAUGAAUCUGCUUUCUCUUUCUCUAUGGGAUGGCUUCUUCUCAACAAUUUUAUGAAUGAAAAUCGUAUGACAUGUUACCCUUUGCAUCUGGCUUCUCUUAGCAAAAGGGUUUUAGGGUGUUCAUGCAUGCUCAGGCAUGGAUCACUGUUUCAUUUCAUUUGAAGGCUCCAUAACAUUCUCCUAUAUUGAUAAACCACAUUUCUUCUCGUUAUAUUUUCCGAUAGUCACCUAUUAUCUAGAAAAUUUUGGCAAAGGCACUUCAUAAAUAUUUAUGAGUAUAGCUAAUACACCUGAAAUGAAGAGCCUAUCUAUAAGAAUUUUCACCAUUUAAGUGAAAAAAUAGCCCCAAAUAAAGUAAUAGAUCUUAAAUUUCAGGAUGAGCCAGGUGUGUUGGUAUAUAUCUUUAGCUCCUGUGCUGAAGAGGCAGAAGCAGGUGGAUCUCUAUGAGUUUGAGGUCAGCCUGGUCUAGCAAGUUCUAGGCCAGCCAGGCCUACAUAGAGAGACCUUGUCUCAAACACCAACAGUGUUUAAGGGAUGGAGAGACAUUUUUCAGGUGGACAAGGUUUCCCAUGAUAUUAGAAGUUAAAAGUCUUCUAGUAACCAUGGGACUAGAGGAAGUCUGGACUCAGUAGACAAGUGCACAGUUUGAUUUGGUUUACCUGGUACCCGGCUGUGUGGCCUCCUUCCCCUUGUCCCCAAACUUCUGCUUGUUAUGUGGGCUCUACAAGUUUGGCUCUGUCCCUGACCGUCUGUCAAGUUUAUUUUACAUGCAUUGCCUCAUUUCAUUCCUUCCAGAUUCACAGAGA
rnacentral:lncRNA from 1 species